rnacentral:misc_RNA from 1 species
AAGACUAUAGACCUGCGGAGUACCUGCGGAGGGAUCAUUAUCGUUGGGCUCGCCCAAUCGAGAUAGAACCCUUGACUUUUCGAGUACCAUCUGUUUCCUCGGCGGGUCUGCCCGCCGAUGGACUCCCCUAAAACCCUUUUGCAGUUGCAGUAAACGUCUAAAUUUUUGAAUAAUUAAAACUUUCAACAACGGAUCUCU